rnacentral:lncRNA from 1 species
UCAGGGAGUGUUUGGUUUCAGGGAGAUCGUUGGGGAGGAGUUCAUGACCAUGUUCCUGUCAGUUUUUAGCAGUAUGGUUCAGUGACUCGUAAUUACUUUGUCAAACCCACAUAUUCAUGUCUUGAUACGCAUUUUCAUUUUUGGUUAUCUGUGAGAAUGUUUAGUAUAUAGAGAAGUUGUUCCAUGGAGCAGCUAAACAAAAAAAAUACUUUUCAUUUGUGAUAGUUUGCGAUAUGCAGUGAUAGAUAUAUCGAAGUUUGUAAUGGCUCAUGGCCAAACAUAUGAAACUGUUCUUGAUACUCUUUUUUCUUUUUCUUAAUAUCAUCAUAUAUAUAUAUAUAUACAAAUUAGAAACUUUCUAACAUCUGCAUAUUUCAGGUUUAGGAGGAUGUAGAGAGAACGGUGUUCAUACAAUUCAGUGCAGCAUCAACAGACGUGUUCCUAAAUUUUGAUGAUUAUUAGAGAGAAAGAGAGAUGAUAUGGUGACCGAAAGUCUAUGUGUUUGUGUCGUGUACGUGUCGGGCAGUGGUAGAUUAAACAUAUUAUGUAAUGGGACUUGGCAAGGGAUAGAGACUGGCAUGAUUUUUUUUCUGAGCAGCAAAUUGGCGCAACCCUUCGUGAUUUUUGAAGUUUGGACAGAGUUAUGAACCAUUCGCCGCCUAAUCUGUAGAUUAUUUCUAGGAUCAAUAUGGUGGCCAUCAGGGUUCCCAUCACCGUGCAUGCCAAGCUUGAGCUCCUCAAGAAUGCCACCAAGCUGGUAUGCUUCUCAUAUCUUCCGUCCUUUAUUUAGCCUUUGCAAAUCUGCAUUCAGUUUAUAGCAUCAGAAGAACACUAACCCAAUCUAGCGUCAUACAGUAAUCGUCAUUGUUAUGGAUACAAGAAAGCAUAGAUAUUUUCUUAGGCAGUAUCUGAGCAUUAUUGGCUUGUGAUUGUGGCCAAGCAUAAAC